AUAAUGAUACUCCCGUCCAGCCACAGUCCGAGCGGUAACCAAUCCGCCGCAGGCAAUGGGGGCGGCUCUGUCAGACCGACAGUUGGGGUGCAAUUCCCGUGG
rfam:Lachnospiraceae bacterium M18-1 genomic scaffold acPFy-supercont1.3, whole genome shotgun sequence.